rnacentral:lncRNA from 1 species
CAGCACCAGAGACUAGAAAAGUGGCAUCAAGGUCUGACCAGAGGCAGUGCAGAAAAUACUGAACUAAGAGAAGGAAAAUGAACAGCAGUGGAAGAUUCUAUUAUCAAAGACAUACAGAUGGCACUGAGCAUUUGUGAAAUGAAUGUUGUUUGUCGUUGCUUGCUGAAUGUCUGACGGAGCUGGAGGAAGGAAGAACUGAAAUCUGAUACCUAAUCCUAGGCCAGUUCUCUAGACCAGUUCCUCUUGUAAGUCCCAAACUGCUCUAUUUCAUAUGGUUUAUUUUACUUGCAGUAGUAUAGAAUUCUUAUUUAAAAUAAUUUUUUA